UGGCUGAUGAUGAAAACCAUAAUCUUAGCGGAUUUCAAUGAGGCUCGUCUUGUCGAUGAUCUCAUAUGUUACACACACUGAGGCCU